UACAGAGGGUGCAAGCGUUAAUCGGCAUUACUGGGCGUACAGCGUGCGUAGACGGUUAUGUAAGUCAGCUGUGAAAGCCCCGGGCUCAACCUGGGAAUUGCAUUUGAGGCUGUGUAGCUAGGGUGCGGAAGAGGGAAGCGGAAUUUCCGGUGUAGCGGUGAAAUGCGUAGAUAUCGGAAGGAACACCAGUGGCGAAAGCGGCUUCCUGGUCCAGCACCGACGUUCAGGCACGAAAGCGUGGGGAGCAAACAGG
rnacentral:rRNA from 1 species